rnacentral:rRNA from 1 species
UACGUAGGUGACCAGCGUUGUCCGGAUUUACUGGGCGUAAAGAGCGCGCAGGCGGUCGUUCAAGUCGAGUGUGAAAGCCCCCGGCUCAACUGGGGAGGGUCACUCGAUACUGAUCGACUUGAAGGCAGGAGAGGGAAGCGGAAUUCCCGGUGUAGUGGUGAAAUGCGUAGAGAUCGGGAAGAACAUCGGUGGCGAAGGCGCUCUACUGGACCACAACUGACACUCAGGGACGAAAGCUAGGGGAGCGAAUGGG